AAAAAAAUUUUACAAAUGUAUACACACUAUGUUAGAGAAAUUUUAACACAUAAACAAAACUGUAAAAGCACCUAUGGUUAAAUGUGUAAACAAGUAUACAAAGGCCUCCAUAGCUGGCAUGUGACAGUAACUGUCCCCAUGCCCCACCCCAGCUAACCUAGUGACAGCUGAGAGGGGUCUGUUUGU